AGUAACGGCGAGUGAAGCGGCAACAGCUCAAAUUUGAAAUCUGGCCCUCUCAGGGUCCGAGUUGUAAUUUGGAGAGGAUGCUUCGGGUGUGGCCCCGGUCUAAGUUCCUUGGAACAGGACGUCACAGAGGGUGAGAAUCCCGUACGUGCCCGGUGGCCGCCCCCGUGUGAAGCGCCUUCGACGAGUCGAGUUGUUUGGG
rnacentral:rRNA from 1 species